AACGAACGCUGGCGGCAGGCCUAACACAUGCAAGUCGCGCGACAAGGUGUCUUCGGAUGCUGGAGGAGCGGCGCACGGGUGAGUAACACGUGGGAACGUACCCCGAGGUUCGGGACAACCACUGGAAACGGUGGCUAAUACCGGAUGUGCCCCAUUCUUAUGGAUGGGGGAAAGAUUUAUCGCCUUGGGAUCGGCCCGCGUUGGAUUAGGUAGUUGGAGUGGUAACGGCGCCCCAAGCCUACGAUCCAUAGCUGGUCUGAGAGGAUGAUCAGCCACACUGGGACUGAGACACGGCCCAG
rnacentral:rRNA from 1 species